GUUUUUAUGGUGUUAAUUUUCCAGUGUUGAAAAGUGUUGAUUCUGGUGUUGAUUUGAAGGACACCAACACUUACAGUGUAAACCAGUGUUCAGAGUCAGUGUUAUUUCAGCAAGUUGACUAAUUGACACUGGAGAUGAGUUGAUCCUAUUUCCGGUCGUUGCACAAUAUUUCCGUUUGGAUUAAUGGCGGACGAGCACGAGGAGCGGACAGUGCUCAAACAGACCGCGCUGAUACGAGCCACGAGGCCAGUUUGCAAACUAAGCUGUCGUCAUGCUGGUGAAAGUUCAAUAUCACGGUGCAUUCCAAGAUUUUCUAAAUGAAGUCACACACAAGAUCCUCAGCCCCCACCACAUGUACUUAUUCUUUGUCGGACCAUCAGCAGCGCAAAACCAGCAAACAAAGGCCAGCGACAGAUUUAGCAUAGAUGUGAUGGCAAACAGGUUGUCCAUGACGCCAAGAAAAAAUAAUCCAGUGACGAGAAAGAAGACAGACUUGUGCACUUCCAUAAGUCCUGCACCUGCACCAGUAUUGAAGGCCAUCUCAGUCGGAGGGAGGACCACCAGCCAUUCCUAUUGGUAUUGAAAAGGAUCAAGGGCAGGAUCGACAUUCUUUGUGGUUGAAGAAGCACCUCAUCUCUUCUGAAGGAACCAGCUCCUUGAGUGCUAUCGAACUUAAAGUCUACUGUUUCUACCUGCUAUGUAGGUCCUUUUAUCUUUAUCUUCCUGCUACACUCAACAACACUGAUGUUGGUCUUACCAGUGAGUCUCACAAAGUAAAGAAAUUGCAUGGGAAGCAUUGACAAACUUUUGACCACAUUUUUUCGGAGCAUUUUGUAUUUAAAGUACAGAUAUUGGAAGUAGAGAGUACGUUUAACCGCUAACAUUUUGAAGUUCUACAGGUCUUUUGUCCUGCAGAGUUCACAUGGGUGAAUUUGA